CCUACGGGUGGCUGCAGUGGGGAAUAUUGCGCAAUGGGCGAAAGCCUGACGCAGCGACGCCGCGUGAGGGAUGAAGGUCUUCGGGUCGUAAACCUCUGUCAGCAGGGAAGUAAGGUCACGCUGCUAAUCAGCAGUGAAUUGACGUUACCUACAAAGGAAGACCCGGCUAACUCCGUGCCACCCGCCUCGGUAAUCCGGAGGGUGCGAGCGUUAAUCGGAAUUAAUGGGCGUAAAGCGAUCGUAGGCGGUAUGUCAAGUCAAGGGUGAAAUCCCCGCGCUCAACGUGGGAACUGCCUUUGAAACUGGCAAACUGGAGUGUGUGAGAGGAUAGUGGAAUUCCAGGUGUAGGAGUGAAAUGCGUAGAUAUCUGGAGGAACAUCAGUGGCGAAGGCGACUAUCUGGCACAUAACUGACGCUGAGGAGCGAAAGCGUGGGUAGCAAACAGGAUUAGAGACCCGGGUAGUC
rnacentral:rRNA from 1 species